AUUGAACGCUGGCGGCAGGCCUAACACAUGCAAGUCGAGCGGCAGCGGGAAAGUAGCUUGCUACUUUUGCCGGCGAGCGGCGGACGGGUGAGUAAUGCCUGGGAAAUUGCCCAGUCGAGGGGGAUAACAGUUGGAAACGACUGCUAAUACCGCAUACGCCCUACGGGGGAAAGCAGGGGACCUUCGGGCCUUGCGCGAUUGGAUAUGCCCAGGUGGGAUUAGCUAGUUGGUGAGGUAAUGGCUCACCAAGGCGGCGAUCCCUUGCUGGGCUGAGAGGAUGAUCAGCCACACUGGAACUGAGACACGGUCCAGACUCCUACGGGAGGCAGCAGUGGGGAAUAUUGCACAAUGGGGGAAACCCUGAUGCAGCCAUGCCGCGUGUGUGAAGAAGGCCUUCGGGUUGUAAAGCACUUUCAGCGAGGAGGAAAGGUUGAUGCCUAAUACGUAUCAACUGUGACGUUACUCGCAGAAGAAGCACCAGCUAACUCCGUGCCAGCAGCCGCGGUAA
rnacentral:rRNA from 1 species